AGAUGGUGAUUCUUUUUUCUAAAAUGAGAAGAAACAAUUUCCAAGUAGGAAAACCCUAAUUAUUUCCUCUUCCAUUUUCCUCCCUAGCAUCCACCACCCUAAACCCUCUUCUCCGACCAGCAGCGAAAUUCGGGAACAAUCACAUUCAUUUUACACUUUUAUCCAGCCAAGCAACCAUGAAAUCAAACCCCAAAGACCCCCUUUUUUUUUAACUCUUCUUCACUGUUAUCUCGCGAAAAACCCAAUUCCUACAAGCAUUGAGCUGACCCAACAACCAUGAAGCUACUGCUAGCUCACCACCUGUAAAUAACUGGACCGAAACUCCGACCAACGGAGCUAGCUGCUUCCCUGUCCCUCUUUCCUUUCCCGAUUUUUUCCUCCAUUUUUCCACAUCUCCAGAGAGCUUCAAGCUCCACAGCCAACUAAACCCAUUUCCCACCAAAACUCCAUUUUUCUCCUUUUUCCGAUAAAAAGGUCAUGGAAACAACACCCAAAUCAGAUCUCAAAACGAACUAGACCCCACCAAUUCUUCUUUCCCUAUUGGCGUUUCCGGCGAAAUCACAAGCUCAAACUGGUGGAGUGACCGACAACAACCUCACACAACAACGAGCAGCAGUCAUGAGCUGUCGAAACCCGCAAAAUAUCGACGAGUCUCUCACUUUCAGAUCUGCCCGGAGGAAUACAUAUUCCGGCACUUCGGAGUUGCUUCUGAUCGAAGCUAUUCCAAUGGAAAUCAAAUGUAUUUAAUAUUCAUUAUUGUGUAUAUUAUUGACGUUAGGAAAACCUUAAGCCGAUACUUAAAUUAUUAUUUUAUUUUAUUAUAUGUGUAUAUUUCAUGUUAACUGUA